rnacentral:rRNA from 1 species
UACGAAGGGGGCUAGCGUUGCUCGGAAUUACUGGGCGUAAAGGGCGCGUAGGCGGCACUGUUAGUCAGGCGUGAAAGUCCUGGGCUCAACCUGGGAACCGCGCUUGAUACGGCAGAGCUAGAGGAUGGAAGAGGGUCGCGGAAUUCCCAGUGUAGAGGUGAAAUUCGUAGAUAUUGGGAAGAACACCAGUGGCGAAGGCGGCUUACUGGUCCGGUUCUGACGCUGAGGCGCGAAAGCGUGGGGAGCAAACAGG